AACAAACGCUGGCGGCGUGCCUAAUACAUGCAAGUCGAACGGGGAAAGCUUUCGGGUGAGUACUAGUGGCGCAUGGGUGAGUAACGCGUGGAUAAUCUGCCUUAGAGUGGGGGAUAACUAGUCGAAAGAUUAGCUAAUACCGCAUAAGACCACAAGAACUGCGGUUCAAGAGGUCAAAGGUUUUUCGCUCUAAGAUGAGUCCGCGUAAGAUUAGCUAGUUGGUGAGGUAACGGCUCACCAAGGCAACGAUCUUUAACUGGUCUGAGAGGAUGAUCAGUCACACUGGAACUGAGACACGGGCCAGACACCUACGGGAGGCAGCAGUAGGGAAUAUUGAACAAUGGAGGAAACUCUGAUGCAGCGACGCCGCGUGAGUGAUGAAGGCCUUCGGGUCGUAAAGCUCUGUCGCAGGGGAAUAACACAAUGAAUGUACCCUGUAAGAAAGGAUCGGCUAACUUCGUGCCAGCCGCCGCUGUAAAAC
rnacentral:rRNA from 1 species